CAACUUGCUCCCGGUCGCGGACUCCAGAGACGGUACACUCUUCAGUUCGGCUGGACCGGAGACAGGCUGCUGCAUGGCUGUCGUCAGCUCGUGUCGUGAGAUGUUGGGUUAAGUCCCGCAACGAGCGCAACCCCCGUCCUUAGUUGCUACCAUUUAGUUGAGCACUCUAAGGAGACUGCCGGUGAUAAGCCGCGAGGAAGGUGGGGAUGACGUCAAGUCCUCAUGGCCCUUACGGGCUGGGCUACACACGUGCUACAAUGGCGGUGACAAUGGGAAGCGAAGACGCAAGUCCUAGCAAAUCUCAAAAAGCCGUCUCAGUUCGGAUUGGGCUCUGCAACUCGAGCCCAUGAAGUUGGAAUCGCUAGUAAUCGUGGAUCACCACGCCACGGUGAAGACGUUCUCGGGUCUUGCACACACACAAAAG
rnacentral:rRNA from 1 species